rnacentral:misc_RNA from 1 species
AAUACAAUAUAUUAUCGUUUUAAUAUUAAAAAAGUUUAAUAUUUGUUUUAAAGAUGGGGUUAUUUUUAUCCAAUAUUUUUUUUUAACUUAUGAAAAUUAUUAUUAAAUAACGAGAAUAUGCUUUUUUUAUGUGCGUGUAAUAGUUAUACAGAAAUUUCUCAUACAAAUAAAUUGUCUGUUUAAUGCUAUGCAUAACUUCAUUUCAUUAUAUUUUAAAUUUUAAAAAUAGAUAUUCUCAAAACAAAAAUUUUUUUUUCAUACUAAUAAAGAAACAAUGCCUAUUUUUGUUCAAUUAACACAAACAUUAUAUGUGCAAAACACUUGCAAGAGAAAAGUUUAGUGGAUUUGGGAUUAUUGUACUCACAGUAUUUUGCACAGUAAAUUUGCAUACCUUAGGCGUUUUUAUCAUAUCGCUUGAAUGUGUACGAUAUAUAGCUGAUACCGUACCAAAUUUAAGUAAGUCUUCGUCUUUUAAUUCGUACCAUUUAAGGCAUUCUAGUAUUUUCUGUGGAAAAAAGAAACACUAAAUUAUCUUCAAAACUGACAUUUUGUCAUAUAAAUUAAAUAAAGCAUUAGCUGUGUUAAUAUAUAAAGAUGUAUAACGUCUUUUACAUUAUUGACUUGUGUCACAUUAGACGAACAUAAAUCCAAAACGUAGGCUGAGUUCCGAUCUUCAAUUUUUAUUUCAGCAUGUACUUUUGAUACUGUCUAAAAAAAGAUUUAAAAUGUUAUAAACAUCUUAAUAUUUAGCAACAAGUACAUGUUUAUUGGUUUUCUAAUAUAUAAAAAGUAUAUACAAAAAAGUUGAUCUAAAAAGAUUUUCUGUGAAAAAUCUUUUAGAAAGAACUUUAAAUAAUAUUUAAGCUAAACCAAACAUUUUUAACAUUGUUUUACAAUAAACACACGUGCAAACGAUAUUAGUGAUAAUCGUUUUGACAAAGGUCUAUCUAUGUUUAAUCCGAACUAUAUAGAUUUAUUUUAAUAAUGCUGUAAAUAUAUAUUUGUUACACAGAUAUUAUCUAAGUAUAUAUAUCAAUUUAUACCACGAUCUUGUAUUGAUUAAAAAUUUUCUUUAUGUCUAAUUUACAAAAACUAUUAUCAAUAAAUUUUUUUGUACAUAAGAAUUAUGUUGGAACUUACCUCAUCGUUGAUAACAAUGUCGCAUUUAGGGUUUCUGCCAAUUAUACAAACUUCUUCCUUAAUUGGAUAGCUAUUGGAAUUAAUGAUUAAUGUUUCCAUCUAAAUUUAAGGCACCUUUAGAGAUCAACAUUCUCAAUGACAGUUAGUGUUAAUUUAAGUGUUUAUUUUAAGUAAAUCUUGCUUGUGUUAAAUAAAUAAUAAAUGUAUUUUAAGGCUAUUCAUCAGGGAAAUGGUUUUUGCAACAAUAACGUUAACUUAAAAGAAGAAAACCGAGAAAAAUGAGAAACUGCUUUUUUUUUAGCAUGAGAGCAAAUUUUUCUGUAUGUACUCUCGAGAUAAUUUAAUAUUUUAGUCUGUUACAUACUGCCCGUAUGUUGACAAAUAAAUUGAAAUAUAUUAAGUAAUUAAGAUAAAUAUUACAAUAAAUUAUAAUUAUCAAGUUAUCAACAAAAUAUAAUUAGUUGCAAGAAUUAAAUUACAAUUGUAAAUAAAAGGAAAAAAACGAAAUGUUGCUAAAAAUAAAUAAUUCUAAUUUUGACAAAGCAACGAGUUAUUUCUCAACAUUCAUGUGUAAAUAUUACAGCACCAAACAUUGUAGUAAUGUUACAGGAAGGUUACGAUCUUACAAAUGUCAUUAAGAAUGUUACUGCAAUAUUUCACUAACCUUACAAUACAACUUAACAUUGUAAUAUUGUCGGAAGGUUAAUAAAAUAUUAUUUUAAUCUUAAGCGCAAUUAUAUAUUUUUUUUCUUAUAUUAUUUUUUAAUAUGUACGUUUUCAUAUAUUUUCAUAAUUUGUUAUUUAUUAAAAAUUAAAUUGGUAAUACUUAAGGAAAGCUUACUGUUCUCCGAAUUUGUUAAAACUUAAUUAUUAUAUAAAUAAUAACACAAUAUUAUGUGUUUUUGUGCAUAGAAUCACAGUAUAAAUAUACACAGUAGCGACAUAUUCUUUCAUCUCAGACAAAUAUUUUGAAGCUUCUUUAACCCACUGUAUUUGCCAAAUACCUUACCCCUGUUGUUGCUCUAUAACUCUAUAAGGUCUUUAAGUAUGGCAGCAAAUGGCAACACUUAAUUCCAGUACUAUCAGUAAGGGUGAUUGAUUGGGAGAUAAAAGGGAGAGUGGUGCAUAGGACUACUGGUGAAGGACCACUAUAAAAAUCCUAACGCGCCAAGUUCGGGACCUCAAUAGGUGGUGGGGAACUCCGAAGAGUACACCGGACUUGUUUCUAACGAUACACAUACGCAAUAUGCUUGAAAAGAGAGAUUAUGAUAUAGUAAGAUUGGUUUCUCAACCAAGCAACCAAAAGAUGUAAUUAUUUCUGCCGUUACGGACGCGCACACAUAUACACAUAUAUGUAUGUAUUAUGCGAAAUACAUGAUACGUUUAUUUUUAUUUUCAGCGCCGGUGUAUCGAAAAUGAUUCCUAGGAUUGACUUGACAAUUACACCUUUUAAUCGGCAUGUCUUUAGCUAUCUUUUAUCAGAGUUUGAGCCAAUUUGUAUGAAACCCAUUUUUUUCCUACGAAAAAUGGGUUUGCGGGGUCUUCUACAAAUUAUUUGAUUUAAAAUUAAUGACUUCUGCAAAAUUUUUCUCUAUUGAAUUCCGAUUCUUACGAGCUUUGAAAUAAGUUUUCUAAAUAGUUUAAAACAUGAAAAUACUACAGAUUUAGUUUAUAUGUAUACCUGUAAAUAUAUACAUAUAUUUAAAAAAAUAAGUUUUGGAAGGAAUAAAACUAUAUUAAGAAAAACCAAAGCUGUAAAAGAUCAGAGGCACGAUAAUAUCAAAUUUCAUUGACGAUGUUAUUUUUGUAUUUUUGACAUUAAAUUGAGUUCACAACAAACUAUGAAAUUUUUGUAUACACUCGUUUUCUGUAGUUCCAGGUCUAAGCAUUGCAAUAGCGGUACACAUAUUUUUUAAUGCAUUAUUUCAAAGCUGUUAUGAUAAUUUGGCGUGUCUACCGUGUACAAACACGGUUUUUUUUGUAAGCUUCUAUGAGACAUAAUACAGCUUUUCUUGUUCACUUUUUUCUUUUUGUUUCUGCGUUGUAGAUAUCAUUAAAUGAACAAUACUUAUUUGUCUUUACUUAAGAAACUACAGAAAACAUAAUAAAAUAGUAAUUAUAUAAUAAUAUAUAUAAUAAAUAUAAUUUAUUCAAAAAUUCAUUCAAAAAGAUAAUGCGUUUACGAAGCAUUUCUAUAGUUGUGACCCAUCUUCAUAAAUUUGCAUACAAAUUUUAAUGCGCGAUUAUUCGAUGAUUGUAUAGCAAAAUGAUACUGAGAAUCAUAAAGUGCACCAAACUGUAAUACAUGGAUAAUAGCAUUAAAUCCAUAAGUUUUUUGAAACUCCACAGCAAUAUUUUUAAUUUUUAUAAUUCUUAAUUUUAGCCCAUUCUUCAAAAGAAAACCUAUUUUUCUUUCUUUAUCUAGUCUUUCGUUGAGAAAUCGUAUUCGUGGAUAUGACUGAAAAUAGAAACCUACUUUUGGAGGUUUAGUUUUAUCACAUUUUGAAUUUAAAUUUUUCUUGUUACUUUUAAGAAGUCUAGUUAAUAUUUUUUCUUCAUUUGGGCAUAUCUUUGUGUAAUCAUGAUCGAUUAAUGGCGUAUUCGAAAAUAUAAGUUUUCGCGUUAAUAAUUCAGCAGUCAGUGUAAAUCCGUUUUCAGUUUGUCUUGCUCAUAAUUUGUAAAAAAAUUAUGAAUAUUAUUAUUGUUUGACUCAAUAUAAAAGGAAUUUUGAUUUCAGAAAAAAUUAAGAAGUAUCUUCAAUAUUUUUUUAUUCAUUUGGAUUUUCGGGAUUUAAUUUGUUAACAUCUACAAAAAAUUAUUUUUAUUGACAAGUCCUCUCCACGCUUCAUCACUCUUUAAAUUAGAGUCCGUUCACCAUGCGGAUCCUCUCGCAAUAAACUUAUUGAAUUAACAUUUACAUUUACAAUUAGCUGAUGUGAUGAAAAUUUUAAUCCUUCAUCUGCUGAACAGUAUUUAAUGUUGGUUUUCGUACUGAAGACGUUGACUCAAUAUCUGCUGAACAUGGAAAGUGGUACAGAUAUUUGGGAAGAGAAUUCUGAAUAUUAAUCUGAUAAACAUGCUGCUGAUGUUUUCAAAAUGGAUUUUGGUCUUUCGCUUAACAUACAUAAAGUUGUUGUGGAUUUUUGUGAGUUUUGGAAUUUUCCAUUGUCUGUACAUAAAGUUGCAGUGAGAUCUUGUAUGUUUUUUAAUUUACUGUUGGAUAAACAUAAAGCUGAUGUAGGUUCUUUUAUAAAAGAUCCUGAAUUUUUGUCAAGUGAACAUGAAGUUGGAAUAACUUUUCGCGGAGCUGAUUUUAAUUCUUUAGUAGAUGAAUGUCAAGACUAUAUCAGAUUUUUGCGAUACUGGCUAUAUAAUUCUUUUUUUUUCUGAUGUAAAUACAGAUGUAUCGGUUGUCUACCCAUUUCAUUGUCAUCAUAUGUGAUUAUUUCACUGUCACUAAUCAUCUGUAAUAUCCUAACAUCACCUGCAAUAAUUUCUCUUGUUUCAUUAAAAUUGUUAGUAGUUUUUUGCAUAAUUCAUACACAGCCCAUAUUUACGUAAACAUAUAAUAUGUAACUACAAAUGUAUAUAAACAUACCCCUUGCCACACACACAAAAUAUAAAAUAUUAAAAUAAAAAAUUUUAAUAGACAAUUCUCUGUACGCUUAAUCGCACAUUUAUUAAUUUUUGUUCAUUACCAGUAAAAGCGACUUGUCGGUUUUUUUUAACUUUUACUCGCAAUAAACAGAUUAAUAAAAUUAGAAAAUGCACGGUAUAAUAGUCAUUGAAUAUAACAGUCAUUGAAAGAAUAAACUUUUACAGAGCCUUUAUAUUUAUUGCUAUAUUAGAUCUUUUUAGAUAAUUUUUAACAAAUUAAAUCGCGAUAACUUACUUUUGAUAGGAAUUUGCCGACGAGGGGUUACAUCUAAAUUGUUAUCAAUAUUUUGCAAAGAUCAUGAAAACAAAUAAUGCUUUAACGAUACAUAUUUUACUGGUAUAUUAUUGAGUGUUGAAGUUUGCGGAGAAACGAGAGUUGAUAUGGAAGAAGAAGGAAGCAUGGGUAGUAGUCGGUGUUAGAGAAGAAAUAUCGGACUCCGAAAAUGAAGUUACAUCAUCUUUGUGUUGUUUAGAUUUCUCAUAUAUUUCACUUUCAAUGACAUUGUCUGGUGAACUCAUAGUCCUGGAAUAAAUAUAUUUAUUUAUACAUACAACUUUAUAUGGUUAUACAUAUAACAAUAUACACAGUCUGUUCUUAUUAUGUUAUUAUUUUAUAUUUAAGUUUAUUUUAAGUACAGAUACAAAACAUUUAAUAUUAAAUUAGCAUUAAAUUUCAAAUCACAUUAGCAUUUUAAGAUAAGAAAAAAAAUAAAAACGCUAAAUUUAAUUUUAUGAUGGAAAUAGUAUAACUAGAUUUCAAUCUGUUAACUAGCUUAGAGUGACUUAAAUAACAGAUUUUAAUCUGUUAACUCUUCUAGAUGUAAAUGAGUUGAACAUGAAACAAACUGUCUUUAAUAUAUAUUGUCUUUGACAAAUUAAUAAAAAAAUAUUCAAAUUUUGAAUAAAAAAACUUACUGUCGCGUUUUAUAAAUGUCGUUCAAGAAAGUCAUAACAUCAUAAACCUGAACCUGAACCUGAACCUGAACUUCGAUUUUUUUACAUUAGCGGCGUCAACUGCCAAUUCACUGGGAAUGUAGCUUUUUUUCGAGCUUUUACAUAAUUAUCUCGCAAGUAUUUUCAGCAAGCUUUAGCCUCCUCUGAAGUAAGAGCUCGUAACAAAUUAUAAUUGGUUCACAAUGUGUAAAAUAUUCACAUAUGUAUUUAUAAAUGUAAAUAUAGAUAUAGUACCUCCUAGAAUGUUAGAAAUUUCGACCCACAAAGCAUUUUUAUGCAUAUGCAGCUUGUCUUUUUGUAUGUGAUGGUCCUUAAUCAGCGGCGAUUUCAUGGUGAUAUAAUGGUAGUUCGAGGUUAGUGACGUGUGCGAGGUUAGCGUUGAAUCGGUUUUUAUUUUAUUUAUGCACAAUGUGCAUAUUACAUCGUGAAAGGAAAUACUUUGCUUAUUACAUCGUGGAGGGAAAUACGGCUGUUUAAUUUGAAGAUCAGAUAAGUUACACAAAAUUUCAUUUUUAGAAUAAGUAUUCUGAGAUAAGAGUAAUACUUUGCGUUAUGUUUUAUUUUUAGUUAUAUUAAAGGAAAAAAAACUUCAUUUGGACCGAAACUAGAAUAGAAAAUAAAAAAAGUGGGCGAGUGAGAAAAGGAAGAUUAUAAAUAUCAAAGCUCGGAAUUUACAAUGUGCCAGUGUAUGCUGCUGUUAAUAAGAAAUUUACCAAGGUUCAAGAUGGAAUAUCACUACAAUCAUGGUGAAAGAAAAACAUAUUUAAGUGGCGAUGCUGGAUCAUCAUACGGAUAACAGACGGGGGGUUCCGGUUGCGUUCCUGAAAACAAGCGCAUAUAAUAGGCCCUGAAAAUGGCCCUUAAGAUGGCGGUACCAAUAAGGAAUCCUGUUCAUCGAGCGCGACAGGCAUAAAAUUGAACAUACCCAAUAGAAAUAUUCCUGCACUCCGAAUUUAUUGAGCGCGACGUGCAAGAAGGAGAAGCAAAGAAGACCACGAGGGGGUGGACCGUCGACCGCCAUUAUCGCUACUACAGACAAUCACGAUCAACCGGGACAGCAUUGGAGGUCAAUUUUUACACCAACGAGCAAGGAGCAGAUACCUAUUUCGAAAGCUACGGUUUGCCUUGGACUUCAGAUUUUUUCGACGAAAUUCUACUACAUAUGGAUAGGAUAGGAUAUCACAUCUGCAAGAAAUGUACUCUCAAACUUACACACAAUACUGCUACGUAUUUUUUUAUAUUUCACGUGUAUAGUUUUAAUUUCUUAAUUUGUUUAUCUGAUUAUAAGCAUAAUGACCAACUAAUUGUACUAAUUGUAAAUUAUUUUGUAAAAUUCUGUCAAUGGAUAAUUAAUUACUUUCAAUAAACUUGUCAAUGUUUACACCUAAAUUAAUUACUCAUAAUUAUAUAAUUAUAAUUAUAAGCUAUAAUUAUAUUUAAAUAUUUAUUAAUAUUUUUUAAAUAUGACUAAAGAAAAUUAAAAAUGCUAUUGAAGAAUUUUACAAUAAUUAUAGGACACCUUGUAUGUUACUUAUAAUUUUUUAUUUUUUAUAUACAUUUAAAACAGAUUGAUAUAUUCCACAAAUUUCAGUUUAUGUUUCGUGAAUAUCU